AUUGAACGCUAGCGGGAUGCCUUACACAUGCAAGUCGAACGGAGUGGCGAACGGGUGAGUAAUGUAUCGGAACGUGCCCCGUAGCGGGGGAUAACUACGAGAAAUCGUAGCUAAUACCGCAUACUAUUGGAGCGGCCGAUAUCGGAUUAGCUAGUUGGAGGGGUAACGGCUCACCAAGGCGACGAUCCUUAGCGGGUUUGAGUGGAAGACCAGCCACACUGGGACUGAGACACGGCCCAGACUCCUACGGGAGGAAGCAGUGGGGAAUUUUGCACAAUGGGGGACACCCUGAUCCAGCCAGGCCGCGUGUACGAUGAAGGCCUUCGGGUUGUAAAGUACUUUUAGCAGGGAGGCGGUACUCGCAGAAUAAGCACCGGCUAACUCCGUGCCAGCAGCCGCGGUAAUAC
rnacentral:rRNA from 1 species